UGUCUACAUUAACCACGACCCCAGUGGGCUU
rnacentral:piRNA from 1 species